GAAAUGAGAUAAUUGGUGUGAAUUGCAUAUUCCCGUGAACCACCGAGUCUUUGAACGCAAGUUGCGCCCGACCCCAUUAGGCUGAAGGCACAUUUGCCUGGGUGUCACGCAACGUCGCCACCGCCUACCCCACGGGCGCGACGGAUGAUGGCUUCCCAGGAGCC
rnacentral:rRNA from 1 species